rnacentral:rRNA from 1 species
AUGAACGCUAGCGGCAGGCUUAAUACAUGCAAGUCGUGGGGCAGCGCAGGUAGCAAUACUGGGCGGCGACCGGCAAACGGGUGCGGAACACGUACACAACCUUCCUACAAGUGGGGAAUAGCCCAGAGAAAUUUGGAUUAAUACCCCGUAACAUAACGAUGUGGCAUCACAUUGUUAUUAUAGCUUCGGCGCUUGUUGAUGGGUGUGCGGCUGAUUAGAUAGUUGGCGGGGUAACGGCCCACCAAGUCUACGAUCAGUAGCUGAUGUGAGAGCAUGAUCAGCCACACGGGCACUGAGACACGGGCCCGACUCCUACGGGAGGCAGCAGUAAGGAAUAUUGGUCAAUGGACGCAAGUCUGAACCAGCCAUGCCGCGUGAAGGAUUAAGGUCCUCUGGAUUGUAAACUUCUUUUAUCUGGGACGAAAAAAGGCGAUUCUUCGUCACUUGACGGUACCAGAUGAAUAAGCACCGGCUAACUCCGU